rnacentral:tRNA from 1 species
GCCGGUUUAGCUCAGCGGUAGAGCAGCGGUUUUGUAAACCGAAGGUCGUGGGUUCAAUCCCCUCAACCGGCACCA